UACGUAGGGUGCGAGCGUUAAUCGGAAUUACUGGGCGUAAAGCGUGCGCAGGCGGCUUUGCAAGACAGAUGUGAAAUCCCCGGGCUUAACCUGGGAACUGCCUUUGUGACUGCAAGGCUUGAGUGCGGCAGAGGGGGAUGGAAUUCCGCGUGUAGCAGUGAAAUGCGUAGAUAUGCGGAGGAACACCGAUGGCGAAGGCAAUCCCCUGGGCCUGCACUGACGCUCAUGCACGAAAGCGUGGGGAGCAAACAGG
rnacentral:rRNA from 1 species